rnacentral:lncRNA from 1 species
UGGAAUGCGUUAGGACGGUUGCAAACAGGGGUGGAGCCAGGGUUUAUAUCCAGUGCGGGCACAAUUUUAUUAUAUAUCGACUGCAGUGAUUUUUUUAGUCCGCUUUUUAGUCCCUACUUCUCUGGCUGUUGCUACUAUUUCUCACUCUAGUUCCCAAUUAUGCUAAUGGCAAUGCCAAUCAAAGCAGCUGGAAGAGUCAUCAGUUAUUAAAAAUUCAUAAUACAGGGGCACAAUUUUAGCAAGAAUCAUCUACAAGUAUUAAAAUAUCAAGCCUCCAAAAAUUUACAGAAAAUCAUCCAAAAAUUUUCACAGAAUCAAUGUCCAGUGACUUAAAUCUCCAUAUUUUAUGAUGACUAUAAGAAAUCAUAAAUUAUAAACCUCAGCAAGCUCACAAUCAUAAAGCAUAAAUCAAAAUCAUAAAUUAUUCCCUAAUAAAAAUGGCAUAAAAAAUGAACUAAAAAAAAAAAGAGAUAGAAAGGCUUACAGGCUACAUCAGUGGUGGCGGAGAGUGGAGGCCCGGCGUCGGCGACUCAGUGGCAGUAAGUACAACUCACAAGGACAAGGUUGCAGACAGCUUGGUGUCGUCGAAUUGAUGGCCUCAAGGGCAGUAGUGGGAGAGAGAGACAUAGGGAUAGGGUUGAUUAUCUGAUUGGGUUUUCGGGAAAUCAUUUCACCAAACAAGAUAUACCAUGAAAAUGGGCUCAUUUAAAAACAAAAAAAAAAAGGCCCAACAAAAAAGUCUUGCAGGCUAGAAUUUUUUUUAAAAAAUUGGCCCAAAAAUUCACCUCCCUUCUUCUUCCAGCUUCCACUUUG